CACGUAGGGCGCAAGCGUUGUCCGGAAUUAUUGGGCGUAAAGAGCUCGUAGGCGGUCUGUUGCGUCUGCUGUGAAAACUCGGGGCUUAACCCCGAGCCUGCAGUGGAUACGGGCAGACUAGAGGUAGGUAGGGGAGAAUGGAAUUCCCGGUGUAGCGGUGAAAUGCGCAGAUAGUCGGGAGGAACACCGGUGGCGAAGGCGGUUCUCUGGGACGGUACUGACGCUGAGACGCGAAAGCGUGGGGAGCGAACAGG
rnacentral:rRNA from 1 species